AAGGAAAAGAGGGGAAAAGAAAAGAAAAUAAUAGAAAAGGAGGAGAGAGAAAGUUCUAGAGAGAGAAAGAGAGGUAACUGCAGCUCCGGCCACGAGGAAUCCGGUUCCGGCCGAGCCUUCUUUGUGAAAUCUUCACAGGAGAACAUUCUUAACUUUUAGAUCGUCCAAAACCAUCAAGAAACGAGGAAAAAUCUAAAGUUAAAGUUAUUGAAUCUAGAUUCUCGUAUUUCCUUUCAUCUGUGAGAUACAGUAAGAGUUAGAACCUGAAAUUUGAGUAUGUUAAUCUACAGAGGAUUACGCUCAAAACAUGUGAAAGAAGUUGGAAUCGAUUCAGAUCGGAAAUGGGAGUUCCGGCGUCGUCAAAGAGGUAGGAGAAAGCUGGCCGGAGAAGAAGGGCCACGUGUCAAGCGUCUAUUGGAAAA